GUUGACCCACACACAGUGGUGAUCAAACCGAUGCACGCACAUACUGCAGACACCUGGGGAGGAGGGAGCCACAGGACAGGUUCCAUUUUCAAAUGGCUACAGCUCCCAGUCAGCAGGAGCUUACCAGGAUUGGCCCGGGAGCAGAGGAUGAAGCUGCCCACGUUCCCAGCCAGCAGCAGGGAUGAUGGAAGUAGGAGAGUAUGAGAAGAGUUGUACUGCAAAUACAACCACCUCGCACAACCGAAC